rnacentral:tRNA from 1 species
UGAGGGAUGGCAGAAUAAAAUGCUUUAGGCCUAAGACUUAACAAUGAGACUUAACUCUCCCUCCA